CCAGGAGCCUCUGUGCUCUCUGGUGACCACACUUCCCUCCAUCCAGUGCACGGCCGCCACACUGCUUCUCUCACAAUAGGUCCUGGUGGUAACGGUCACAUUCAGGACCUGCCCGCACUCCUCCCCCUCCACAAGUGUGACAGGCAGCGUGGUCAGCGAGUUGCCCAGGUCAGUGCCAUUGCGUGCCCAGCCACUGAGGAGGCCCCCAGUGCGUGGGAUGAGGAGGUGCUCAGCGAAGUCGUUCUCAGGGGUGCACACGGGGAGCCCCGCAUCUGGGCACUGGAUGGGCCACUCCAGCUCCAGCAGUGACAGGUCAUUCUCCCCCGUGUCCGCGUCAUACCACAUGUGCACAUGGGCACGCAUUAUCUUGAUCAUCAGUGGGUCUUGGCUCGUUCUGUUAAAAUCUGAAAUCAUGAACAAUCACCAGUUCUUUACAGUCUGAUUUUCAAGGGUGACAUAAUGCUCAGAAACGAGCUUCUCAGUGAGCCACGUGAGGAGGGAGAGACCGACCCUGGAGGACCCGCAGGCUCACUGCCCCAUGGUGUGGACACUGUCCCUUUCUGUGGACAGAAAGGCCACUCACAGAUUGCACCAUUGCAACCAAGUGCCAUGGCGUUUAAAAACAGUCAAGGAAAUGACAAGUAAGGUGAAAGUCGUAACAAUAAAUUGAAGCACGCGGAGAGCGCUCUGUUACCUGCCACGGGAGAUCCUGUAGAUCCAGUGCACGCUUCUCGGAGGUCAGCACCCCACAGGCACACUGGUCUGCAUUUGCGGCAGCAACAUGAGAAUAAAAAUCAGCGCCUUCCCAGUGAAUAUCGGACUCUGUCUAUGGUGUUAACCAUUGCAUAAUUCCGGCUAUGGUACUAACCAUUAUGAUCGUAUCCUUAAUGCUGAUGAAUGUGCAAUAAUUCACACAGACAUGCAGACUGGCAUUAAACCACCCCCUCACAGCGCUCAUGGUUUAGCUCAGAGUGGUCCGAGCAAGCACGAGUGACAGAAACUGCACUUUCUAGCAUUGCCAUUGCUCCAGCAUGGAGACGCGGACCACCUUCUGAGUCGUGGCAACUCCUUAUCAUAAAUCCAUGGGCUUCACCCAAUACUACAGAAGAAGGAAGGAGGAUGUGGACAGGGUCACUGGCACUGGAAGCUGGAGGCUGCUGUGGUCUGAGCACUCACCGUGGGGAAUGCACUGUUUGCGGUCCUCACCAAGCCUGUAGCCUUGAGCACAGCUGCACGUGUAGGAUUCCUGUCCUGGGAGGCAGAAGUGUUGACACCCAUCAGUCCGCUCCAGGUGACAUUCAUUUUUAGCUGAAAAGGAAAAAGAAAAAAAAAAAAACAGAAAUGCUGGCUUGGCAUUUGAUCACAGCCUUGCACACAGAGUUCUGGUGUUUUGGUCCAUGUGUCCUCAUUCUCUUCAGACCGUUGCCCUUUGUGUCAGUGUUUGCCACACUUCCAUAUUUCAGGAAUGUGCAUAUAAAACAAAGACUCCAUAAGUGAGGCCGGGCCCGGUGGCUCACAUCUGUAAUCCCAGCACUUUGGGAGGCUGAGGUGGGCAGAUCACGGGGUCAGAAGAUAGAGACCAUCCUGGCUAACACGGUGAAAUCCUGUCUCUACUAAAAAUACAAAAAUGAGCCAGUCGAGGUGGCGGGUGCCUGUCGUUCCAGCUACUGGGGGGCUGAGACAGGAGAAUGGCGUGAACCCGGGAGGCGGAGCUUGCAGUGAACCGAGACUGCGCCACUGCACUCCAGCCUGGGCGACAGAGCAAGACUCUGCCUCAAAAAAAAAAAAAAAACCAAAAUGUUUAAAAAAGACUCCAUGAGUGACGGCACUUCCAUCUGUCCUUAGAAAACGUGGCCCUGGAUGUAUUUCCACGUGGACUUUGCCCACCUAGAACUCUUCCCUCGGGAAGAGUCCCGCAACCAAAGUCUCCAUGGGGCCAUCACUUUCCAAAAUUUGAGACGGGUUCUGACCCUGCUGCAGCAUGAGGCUCCCCAGGAGCCAGGAGCACAGGAGCCAGGAGCCAGGAGCCCAGGUGGAUGGAAGAGCCCCGGAGCCCCGGAGCCCCGGAGCCAGGAGCCCAGGUGGAUGGAGGAGCCCCGGAGCCCCGGAGCCAGGUGGAUGGAGGAGCCCAGGAGCCAGGAGCCCAGGAGCCAGGAGCCAGGAACCAGGAGCCCAGGAGCCCAGGUGGAUGGAGGAGCCCAGGAGCCCAGGAGCCAGGAGCCCAGCUGCCCAGGAGCCCAAGAACCAGGAGCCCAGGUGCCCAGGAACCAGGCAGCUGGAGGAGCCCAGGAGCCAGGCAGAUGGAGGAGCUGCUCUGGGGGGGCCUCCUGGCCUGUGGCCUGUGUCCCAGAGUGCCCAGAAACUACCCAGACGCUGGGCAAGACAAACCAGCUGCUGCCUGUGGCCCUGGGGGCAGAACCCGGGGACUUCCUGACCUGGUCCUUGGGUAGAGUCCGAGCUGUGCCCUUCCCUGGAGAGACAUCAUGGGUUCUGGAGCCAAAGGCUUGGCAUCCGCUGACCUGGGGUCAUGAAGCGUCCUAAGCCGACCCCCUCACCUCAUCCCGAGGAAUUAAUACUUCUGAGGAGAUGAAGGAAACCGCUUACCCUUAUAUCGUCUCCAGAAUUCAUCCUUUAGAAUUAAAACAUAAAAGUGUUACAAAUGGGACAUUUGUUUUUCUAUAUUCUUUCCUGUAGAUGAAGUUUUUUUUUAAGGUCUCCGUUAAAAGCAUGAAGUUCUCUGAAAGUCACCGCAAGCUGGGUGGUGUGUGUGUUGGACUAUCUGGUCAGUGUGUGGGCCUUGCCUGACCUGAGGAAAGUCCAGUGGGGUCUGAGCUGACUUCCGGCCCCACUCACCUGCUGUAGGUAAGAGUGGAUCAGUGGGUGGGUUAAGUCACUUCUGUAAAUUGUUUCCUCAUCUGUAAAACUGGGAUUGUGUUAACCUCAUCGGUAAGUAAAUAGGCUAAUUAAUUAAGCUGAAUCGCUGAGAAAUGAUGCUCCCUGGGUCAGCAGAAGUCUAAAUAACGAGGAAGCCUGUGGUUCAUGGUGGGGGGUACAUACAGUGACUACUUCAUUUUCGAACACUUCUCUUGCUUCUUCAUAGGUACAGAUUUCUUCGUAACAUUCUUUUUCCAAGUUUCCCUCGAAGAGUUCUUCCAGGAGAUAGGAGCCCGCACGCUUCCACCUCACGAGAACGUUGUUUGCUUUGGAGGCCGGGAGAAAUACUACAGACAAGACAAGAAGACGGUGACUGGGAGCACCGAGGGCCCUGCUUUCCAGAACUGCCUGGCUUCCUCCCCAGCCAGCCGCCAGCCCCUGCCUGCCCCCUCCGCCUGCGAGGGCCUCAGGACCACCCCGCCACUCCCUCCCCCGAGCAGGCCCUGCGAUUUCCAGGAGGAGAAGGCAAACCAGUCGGCCUGCAGCUGUGGUCUCUAGAGGCUCUUCCUGCCCAAGGGCCCCAAAGCACGUUCUCUCCCUCUCCCAGAGGGUCAAAGCCCAGGCCCUUCACAUCCUCCCUCCCUUUCUCUCGGUGCUGAGGGUUACAGCAGGGAUGGCUCAGCUAAGUCCGGCCACGGGGAAUUAAGACAAGUCUGGGCACUCAGGGCUCCUCCGGCUCCUGGGAAAAGUGUCAUCUACAAAUCUACCGUGGACUGAAUCAAGGACACAGCACAGGCACGACGGACAGGGUGGCAGCAGAGAGAACGAGUGCAAGCAGCGGAAAUGCCAGAUGCUUAUAAAACCAUCAAAUCUCAUGAGACUCACUGUCCCAAGAACAGCAUGGCAGAAACCACCCCCAUGAUCCAAUCACCGCCCACCGGGUCCCUCCCUCGACACGUGGGGAUUAUGGCAAUUACAGUUCAAGACAAGAUUUGGGAGGGGACACAGCCAAACCAUAUCAGCACUUGAAGCCUGAGGUAAGAACCUGGUGUUUCCUUUCUACUGUGUUGGGAAGAUAUUGGAGGGAAGAGGAAUUGACAUGGAAAGAUUUGUGCUCUGAAGGGAUCACUGUGGCUGCUGUGUGGAGAACAGAACAU